rnacentral:rRNA from 1 species
UAGAACCUACGGGACGCAGCAGUGAGGAAUAUUGGUCAAUGGGCGAGAGCCUGAACCAGCCAAGUCGCGUGAAGGAUGACGGCCCUACGGGUUGUAAACUUCUUUUGUCAGGGAGCAAUUGAGUCCACGCGUGGGCUUAGCGAGAGUAUCUGUAGAAAAAGCAUCGGCUAACUCCGUGCCAGCAGCCGCGGUAAUACGGAGGAUGCGAGCGUUAUCCGGAUUUAUUGGGUUUAAAGGGUGCGUAGGCGGAAUAUCAAGUCAGCGG